GCUCCUGGCUCAGGAUGAACGCUAGCUACAGGCUUAACACAUGCAAGUCGAGGGGCAGCAUGGUCUUAGCUUGCUAAGGCCGAUGGCGACCGGCGCACGGGUGAGUAACACGUAUCCAACCUGCCGUCUACUCUUGGACAGCCUUCUGAAAGGAAGAUUAAUACAAGAUGGCAUCAUGAGUUCGCAUGUUCACAUGAUUAAAAGGUAUUCCGGUAGACGAUGGGG
rnacentral:rRNA from 1 species